AGAGUUUGAUCAUGGCUCAGAACAAACGCUGGCGGCGUGCAUAACACAUGCAAGUCUAACGGGAAUGUCGGCUUCGGCUGACUAGUACCGUGGCGAACGGGUGAGUAACACGUGGGUAAUCUAACCUCGAGUUUGGGAUAACCUUGCGAAAGCGGGGCUAAUACCGAAUAAGACCACGCUCUGCUCGCAGAGUGCGGUAAAAGGCGGCCUCUUCUUGAAAGCUGUCACUUGAGGAUGAGCCCGCGGCCUAUUAGCUAGUUGGUGGGGUAAUGGCCUACCAAGGCAACGAUGGGUAGCCGGCCUGAGAGGGUGUACGGCCACACUGGCACUGAGAUACGGGCCAGACUCCUACGGGAGGCAGCAGUGGGGAAUUUUGCGCAAUGGGGGAAACCCUGACGCAGCAACGCCGCGUGAGUGAUGAAGGCCUUCGGGUCGUAAAGCUCUUUUAGUGGGGAAGAAUCCCACCCGGGUUAAUACCUCGGGUGUCUGACGGUACCCACAGAAAAAGUUCCGGCUAACUACGUGCCAGCAGCCGCGGUAAUACGUAGGGAGCAAGCGUUGUUCGGAAUUAUUGGGCGUAAAAGAGCGCGUAGGCGGUUCGGUAAGUCUGACGUGAAAAUCCCCGGAGCUUAACUCCGGAACUGCGUUGGAUACUGCCCAACUUGA
rnacentral:rRNA from 1 species